rnacentral:rRNA from 1 species
GACGAACGCUGGCGGCGUGCUUAACACAUGCAAGUCGAACGGUGAAGCGCCUUCCUUUUUGGUUGGUGUAGUUGAGUGGCGAACAGGUGAGUAACACGAGCGUAACCUGCCCCCUUCUUCUGGAUAACCGCAUGAAAGUGUGGCUAAUACGGUAUAUUCUGGUUCUGCCGCAUGAUGGGUCUGGGGCAGUUAUAGUUUCGGUGGGGGAUGGGCUCGGGGCUUAUCAGCUUGUUGGGGUGGUGAUGGCCUACCAGGGCGGUGAUGGGUAGCCGGCCUGAGAGGGUGGCCGGUCAGACUGGGAGUGAGACACGGCACAGACUCGUACGGGAGGCAGCAGUGGUGAAUAGUGAACAAUGGGCGUAAGACUGAUGCAGCGAGGCCGCGUGAGGGAUGUAGGCCGUCGGGUUGUGAACCUCGUUCGCGAGUGAAGCAGGCCUGCCUCGUAUGUGGGUGGGUUGACGGUAGCUGGAUAAGAAGCGCCGGCUAACUACGUG